UGCUCUGCAGGCAGGAGGUGUCUGUCCAGUGACAGGUAUCCCUAUCCUGCUAGUAAUGAGGUGUAUAUCCAGUGACAGGUAUCCCUAUCCUGCUAGCAAUGAAGUGUAUAUCCAGUGACAGGUAUCCCUAUCCUGCUAGCAAUGAAGUGUAUAUCCAGUGACAGGUAUCCCUAUCCUGCUAGUAAUGAGGUGUAUAUCCAGUGACAGGUAUCCCUAUCCUGCUAGCAAUGAGGUGUAUGUCCAGUGACAGGUAUCCCUAUCCUGCUAGCAAUGAGGUGUAUGUCCAGGUAUCUCUAUCCUGCUAGUAAUGAGGUGUCUGUCCAGUGACAGGUAUCCCUAUCCUGCUAGCAAUGAGGUGUCUGUCCAG